GAUGAACGCUGGCGGCGUGCUUAACACAUGCAAGUCGAACGGUGAACACGGAGCUUGCUCUGUGGGAUCAGUGGCGAACGGGUGAGUAACACGUGAGCAACCUGCCCCUGACUCUGGGAUAAGCGCUGGAAACGGCGUCUAAUACUGGAUACGAACCACGAAGGCAUCUUCAGUGGUUGGAAAGAUUUUUGGGUUGGGGAUGGGCUCGCGGCCUAUCAGCUUGUUGGUGAGGUAAUGGCUCACCAAGGCGUCGACGGGUAGCCGGCCUGAGAGGGUGACCGGCCACACUGGGACUGAGACACGGCCCAGACUCCUACGGGAGGCAGCAGUGGGGAAUAUUGCACAAUGGGCGGAAGCCUGAUGCAGCAACGCCGCGUGAGGGAUGACGGCCUUCGGGUUGUAAACCUCUUUUAGCAGGGAAGAAGCGAAAGUGACGGUACCUGCAGAAAAAGCGCCGGCUAACUACGUGCCAGCAGCCGCGGUAACAC
rnacentral:rRNA from 1 species